GGAAGGCAGCAGGCGCGCAAAUUACCCACUCCCGGCACGGGGAGGUAGUGACGAAAAAUAACAAUACGGGACUCUUUUGAGACCCCGUAAUUGGAAUGAGUACACUCUAAAUCCUUUAACGAGGAUCUAUUGGAGGGCAAGUCUGGUGCCAGCAGCCGCGGUAAUUCCAGCUCCAAUAGCGUAUAUUAAAGUUGUUGCGGUUAAAAAGCUCGUAGUUGGAUCUCAGUUCCAGACGGGCGGUCCGCCUAACGGUGGUUACUGCCUGGCCUGAACAGCCAGCCGGUUUCCCUAGAUGAUCUUCACCGGUUGUCUUGGGUGACCGGCACGUUUACUUUGAAAAAAUUAGAGUGCUCAAAGCAGGCGUGUAGCCUGAAUAAUGGUGCAUGGAAUAAUGGAAUAGGACUUCGUUUCUAUUUUGUUGGUUUUCGGAACACGAGGUAAUGAUUAAGAGGGACAGACGGGGGCAUUCGUAUUGCGACGCUAGAGGUGAAA
rnacentral:rRNA from 1 species